AAAUGUAAAGCAAUAAUGCAUUUAGUUUCGACCUAAAAAAAAAUAUAAUAAUAUUUACAUUUA
rnacentral:tRNA from 1 species